rnacentral:rRNA from 1 species
CCGAUGGAGGGGGAUAACUACUGGAAACGGUAGCUAAUACCGCAUAACGUCGCAAGACCAAAGAGGGGGACCUUAGGGCCUCUUGCCAUCGGAUGUGCCCAGAUGGGAUUAGCUAGUAGGUGGGGUAACGGCUCACCUAGGCGACGAUCCCUAGCUGGUCUGAGAGGAUGACCAGCCACACUGGAACUGAGACACGGUCCAGACUCCUACGGGAGGCAGCAGUGGGGAAUAUUGCACAAUGGGCGCAAGCCUGAUGCAGCCAUGCCGCGUGUAUGAAGAAGGCCUUCGGGUUGUAAAGUACUUUCAGCGGGGAGGAAGGGAGUAAAGUUAAUACCUUUGCUCAUUGACGUUACCCGCAGAAGAAGCACCGGCUAACUCCGUGCCAGCAGCCGCGGUAAUACGGAGGGUGCAAGCGUUAAUCGGAAUUACUGGGCGUAAAGCGCACGCAGGCGGUUUGUUAAGUCAGAUGUGAAAUCCCCGGGCUCAACCUGGGAACUGCAUCUGAUACUGGCAAGCUUGAGUCUCGUAGAGGGGGGUAGAAUUCCAGGUGUAGCGGUGAAAUGCGUAGAGAUCUGGAGGAAUACCGGUGGCGAAGGCGGCCCCCUGGACGAAGACUGACGCUCAGGUGCGAAAGCGUGGGGAGCAAACAGGAUUAGAUACCCUGGUAGUCCACGCCGUAAACGAUGUCGACUUGGAGGUUGUGCCCUUGAGGCGUGGCUUCCGGAGCUAACGCGUUAAGUCGACCGCCUGGGGAGUACGGCCGCAAGGUUAAAACUCAAAUGAAUUGACGGGGGCCCGCACAAGCGGUGGAGCAUGUGGUUUAAUUCGAUGCAACGCGAAGAACCUUACCUGGUCUUGACAUCCACGGAAGUUUUCAGAGAUGAGAAUGUGCCUUCGGGAACCGUGAGACAGGUGCUGCAUGGCUGUCGUCAGCUCGUGUUGUGAAAUGUUGGGUUAAGUCCCGCAACGAGCGCAACCCUUAUCCUUUGUUGCCAGCGGUCCGGCCGGGAACUCAAAGGAGACUGCCAGUGAUAAACUGGAGGAAGGUGGGGAUGACGUCAAGUCAUCAUGGCCCUUACGACCAGGGCUACACACGUGCUACAAUGGCGCAUACAAAGAGAAGCGACCUCGCGAGAGCAAGCGGACCUCAUAAAGUGCGUCGUAGUCCGGAUUGGAGUCUGCAACUCGACUCCAUGAAGUCGGAAUCGCUAGUAAUCGUGGAUCAGAAUGCCACGGUGAAUACGUUCCCGGGCCUUGUACACACCGCCCGUCACACCAUGGGAGUGGGUUGCAAAAGAAGUAGGUAGCUUAACCUUCGGGAGGGCGCUUACCACUUUGUGAUUCAUGACUGGGGUGAAGUCGUAACAAGGUAACCGUAGGGGAACCUGCGGUUGGAUCACCUCCUUACCUUAAAGAAGC